GCGCCGUUAGCUCAGCUGGAUAGAGCGUCUGGCUACGGACCAGAAGGCCGGGGGUUCGAAUCCCUCACGGCGUGCCA
rnacentral:tRNA from 22 species